rnacentral:rRNA from 1 species
UGACCGCUGGCGGCGUGCCUAAUGCAUGCACGUCGAGCGAACAGACGCGGAGCUUGCUCCUCUGACGUUAGCGGCGGACGGGUGAGUAACACGUGGAUAACCUACCUAUAAGACUGGGAUAACUUCGGGAAACCGGAGCUAAUACCGGAUAAUAUAUUGAACCGCAUGGUUCCAUAGUGAAAGACGGUUUUGCUGUCACUUAUAGAUGGAUCCGCGCCGCAUUAGCUAGUUGGUAAGGUAACGGCUUACCAAGGCAACGAUGCGUAGCCGACCUGAGAGGGUGAUCGGCCACACUGGAACUGAGACACGGUCCAGACUCCUACGGGAGGCAGCAGUAGGGAAUCUUCCGCAAUGGGCGAAAGCCUGACGGAGCAACGCCGCGUGAGUGAUGAAGGUCUUCGGAUCGUAAAACUCUGUUAUUAGGGAAGAACAAAUGUGUAAGUAACUAUGCACGUCUUGACGGUACCUAAUCAGAAAGCCACGGCUAACUACGUG